ensembl:scaRNA
UGGGAGGCUGAUACCCAAGUAGAGAAAAGCUUUGCUCUAAUUGUCACAAGCUCUCCCUAGAACAAUGUUGCCUUUUGAUGACCGGGAUGAAUUGAGAGAAAUUGUAACGGACAGAUACGGGGCGUACAAGU